rnacentral:lncRNA from 1 species
CUGAAACGGUCUGCUUUCUUCCAAAGGAAACUGCUAAGAAUGUUCUAAGAACUUUUAAACUUCUAAGAGAAGCCAAAAAGGAAACAGGAACAGAUGCACCCGUGACAACCGAUGGAUGCACAGAAAACAGAUUCCCACCUGGGGACAGAAAGGAACCGAGGGGUCUCCCGUGAGGUCCAGACAAGAAAGCGCCUUUCAAUGGAUUUCUGAGUCUUUCAUGUGCCGACAGGCAGCGUAAACUCCCAAGAGGACGACAGGCUGUCAUUUACCCCAGGUGUAUUCUCCCCAUUGACCUAGUAACUCUGUGCCGACGGGAUGCUCAUGCCCAGGUAUUGCAGGGAGUGGUGGCGCACUGGGCAUUCGUGAUCUCUGAAGGC